AUUGAACGCUGGCGGCAUGCCUUACACAUGCAAGUCGAACGGCAGCACGGGGGCAACCCUGGUGGCGAGUGGCGAACGGGUGAGUAACAUAUCGGAACAUACCCUAGAGUGGGGGAUAACGUAGCGAAAGUUACGCUAAUACCGCAUACGAUCUAAGGAUGAAAGUGGGGGAUCUUCGGACCUCAUGCUCAUGGAGUGGCCGAUAUCUGAUUAGCUAGUUGGUGAGGUAAAGGCUCACCAAGGCGACGAUCAGUAGCUGGUUUGAGAGAACGACCAGCCACACUGGAACUGAGACACGGUCCAGACUCCUACGGGAGGCAGCAGUGGGGAAUUUUGGGACAAUGGGGGCAACCCUGAUCCAGCAAUGCCGCGUGAGUGAAGAAGGCC
rnacentral:rRNA from 1 species